AGCCAUGCGAGUCAUUGUAGCAAUACAAGGCAGACGGCUCAGUAACGCGUAGUCAAUCUACCCUAUGGACGGGAAUAACCUCGGGAAACUGAGAAUAAUGCCCGAUAGAACAUUAUGCCUGGAAUGGUUUAUGUUUCAAAUGAUUUAUCGCCAUAGGAUGGGACUGCGGCCUAUCAGUUUGUUGGUGAGGUAAUGGCCCACCAAGACUAUUACAGGUACGGGCUCUGAGAGGAGUGGCCCGGAGAUGGGUACUGAGACACGGACCCAGGCCCUAUGGGGCGCAGCAGGCGAGAAAACUUUGCAAUGUGCGAAAGCACGACAAGGUUAAUCCGAGUGAUUUCUGCUAAAGAAAUCCUUUGCUAGUCCUAGAAACACUAGUGAAUAAGGGGUGGGCAAGUUCUGGUGUCAGCCGCCGCGGUAAAACCAGCACCUCAAGUAGUCAGGACGAUUAUUGGGCCUAAAGCAUCCGUAGCUCGUUUUGUAAGUUUUCGGUUAAAUCCAUACGCUUAACGUAUGGGCUGCCGGGAAUACUGCAUAACUAGGAAGUGGGAGAGGUAGACGGUACUCGGUAGGAAGGGGUAAAAUCCUUUGAUCUAUUGAUGACCACCUGUGGCGAAGGCGGUCUACCAGAACACGUUCGACGGUGAGGGAUGAAAGCUGGGGGAGCAAACCGGAUUAGAUACCCGGGUAGCCCCAGCUGUAAACUAUGCAAACUCAGUGAUGCAUUGGCUUGUGGCCAAUGCAGUGCUGCAGGGAAGCCGUUAAG
rnacentral:rRNA from 1 species